rnacentral:rRNA from 1 species
UACAGAGGGUGCAAGCGUUGUUCGGAAUUAUUGGGCGUAAAGGGCGCGUAGGCGGUGCGGUAAGUCUGCGGUGAAAUCUCCCGGCUCAACUGGGAGUCUGCCGUGGAAACUGCCGUGCUUGAGUGUGGGAGAGGUGAGUGGAAUUCCCGGUGUAACGGUGAAAUGCGUAGAUAUCGGGAGGAACACCUGUGGCGAAAGCGGCUCACUGGACCACAACUGACGCUGAGGCGCGAAAGCUAGGGGAGCAAACAGG